UACGUAGGGACCAAGCGUUGUUCGGAUUUACUGGGCGUAAAGGGCGCGUAGGCGGCAUGACAAGUCACUUGUGAAAUCUCUGGGCUUAACCCAGAACGGCCAAGUGAUACUGUCGCGCUAGAGUGCGGAAGGGGCAAUCGGAAUUCUCGGUGUAGCGGUGAAAUGCGUAGAUAUCGAGAGGAAAACCUGAGGUGAAGACGGGUUGCUGGGCCGACACUGACGCUGAGUGCGCGAAAGCCAGGGGAGCAAACGGG
rnacentral:rRNA from 1 species